GGCUCUGUAGUGAAAUUCAUGGUGAGUUGCAAGCUCAUUGAUGUGCAUUAAUUUGCGCCAGGGUCU
rnacentral:tRNA from 1 species